rnacentral:rRNA from 1 species
GGAUUAGAUACCCUGGUAGUCCACGCCGUAAACGAUGUCAACUAGAUGUAGGGGGUGUUGAUCCCCUCUGUGUCGCAGCUAACGCAUUAAGUUGACCGCCUGGGGAGUACGGUCGCAAGAUUAAAACUCAAAGGAAUUGACGGGGGCCCGCACAAGCGGUGGAGUAUGUGGUUUAAUUCGAUGCAACGCGAAGAACCUUACCUGGUCUUGACAUCCCGGGAAUCUCUAAGAAAUUAGAGAGUGCCUUCAUUAGAAGGAGCCUGGAGACAGGUGCUGCAUGGCUGUCGUCAGCUCGUGUCG